AUUGAACGCUGGCGGCAGGCCUAACACAUGCAAGUCGAGCGGAUAAAGGGAGCUUGCUCCUGGAUUCAGCUGCGGACGGGUGAGUAAUGCCUAGGAAUCUGCCCGGUCUUUGGGGAUAACGUCCGGACGCGGGCGCUAAUAUCACAUCGGUCCUGAGGUUGAACGGGAGGGAUCAUCGGACCACAACCUAUCAGAUGAGCCUAGGUGGGAUUAGCGAGUUGGUUGGGUAAAGGGCUACCAAGGCGACGAUCCGUGACUGGUCUGAGUGGAUGAUCAGUCACACUGGAACUGAGACACGGUCCAGACUCCUACGGGAGGCAGCAGUGGGGAAUAUUGGGCAAUGGGCGAAAGCCUGAUGCAGCCAUGCCGCGUGUGUGAAGAAGGUCUUCGGAUUGUAAAGCACUUUAAGUUGGGAGGAAGAGAAGUAAAUUAAUACCUUCCUGUCUUGACGGUACCAACAGAGUAAGCACCGGCUAACUACGUG
rnacentral:rRNA from 1 species